rnacentral:rRNA from 1 species
AUUGAACGCUGGCGGCAGGCCUAACACAUGCAAGUCGAGCGGAUGAAGGGAGCUUGCUCCUGGAUUCAGCGGCGGACGGGUGAGUAAUGCCUAGGAAUCUGCCUGGUAGUGGGGGAUAACGUCCGGAAACGGGCGCUAAUACCGCAUACGUCCUGAGGGAGAAAGUGGGGGAUCUUCGGACCUCACGCUAUCAGAUGAGCCUAGGUCGGAUUAGCUAGUUGGUGGGGUAAAGGCCUACCAAGGCGACGAUCCGUAACUGGUCUGAGAGGAUGAUCAGUCACACUGGAACUGAGACACGGUCCAGACGCCUACGGGAGGCAGAAGUGGGGAAUAUUGGACAAUGGGCGAAAGCCUGAUACAGCCAUGCCGCGUGUGUGAAGAAGGUCUUCGGAUUGUAAAGAACUUUAAGUUGGGAGGAAGGGCAGUAAGUUAAUACCUUGCUGUUUUGACGUUACCAACAGAAUAAGCACCGGCUAACUUCGUG